rnacentral:tRNA from 1 species
GAGGGUAUAGCUCAGUGGUAGAGCACUCACUUAGUGUACACAAGAUCCUGAGUUCAAUCUCCAGUACCUUUA